AUGGAAUAUAGCUGUGUCAUUCUCUUCCUUGUGUCAGUAAUUAUAGGUGUCCACUCUCAGAAGCAGCUACAUCAGUCUGGGCCUGAACUGGAGAAACCAGGGGCCUCAGUGAAGUUGUCCUGCAAGGCUUCAGGCUAUACUUUCACUAGCUACUAUAUUAGCUGGGUAAAACAGAGGCCUGGACAGGGCCUGGAGUGGAUUGGACUUAUUAAUCCUAGUAAUGGUGGUACUACCUACAAUGGGAAGUUCCAGGGCAAGGCCAAACUGACUGUAGACAAAUCCUCCAGCACAGCCUACAUGGAGCUCAGCAGCCUGACAUCUGAAGACUCUGCAAUCUAUUACUGUGCAACACACAGUGUUGUAACCACAUCCUGA